rnacentral:rRNA from 1 species
UACGUAGGUGGCAAGCGUUAUCCGGAUUUAUUGGGCGUAAAGGGAACGCAGGCGGUCUUUUAAGUCUGAUGUGAAAGCCUUCGGCUUAACCGGAGUAGUGCAUUGGAAACUGGGAGACUUGAGUGCAGAAGAGGAGAGUGGAACUCCAUGUGUAGCGGUGAAAUGCGUAGAUAUAUGGAAGAAAACCAGUGGCGAAAGCGGCUCUCUGGUCUGUAACUGACGCUGAGGUUCGAAAGCGUGGGUAGCAAACAGG